CUCAGAAGUGCCAGGCGCUGCCAACGGCCCCGGAGAUCCUCGCGCAUUAUAGUGGCCUAUGAGCAGAAUUUGCCAUGCCUUCCAUGGAGCAUUCUUUUUCCAAGUCAGGUCAAUCCAGCCUGCAGCUGUGGAUGCGACCAUCUUGGAAGCCAUGUUAAAGAAGGCAGAGCCACAAGAUAGAUGCAGCCGGGUUCUCUAAAUCACCACUGGGGAGAAACCCACACACCAAUGAGGAAUACCCAUUUUUUGGAUUUUAAGAGCAAGAAAUAAACUUCAAUUGUGUUCAGCAUUAUGUGCUUUGGGGUUUGUUUAUUACAGCAACUAGUGUUACUGCAACUAAUACAUAGUACACUAUGAAAAUACAAUGCUGGAGAAAGAAGUGAUGGAAUAGAUAUGCAUAAAACACCAUUGAUAGGCCUCACAAACAUAGGGUUAAGUGCAGAAGUACAGAAACAGAAUGAAAUUUAUAACUAGAUUCUAUUUAUUAAAUAGCAUAUGCACACAAUAUAAUAAUACAUGUUUUCUGAGGAUACAUGCAUAUUUAAGGAUGUAUAACAAAUGCUUUAGAAUGGGUAUGUAUGGGCCAGGUGCGGUGGCUCAUGCCUGUAAUCCCAGCACUUUGAGAAGCCAAGGCAGAUGGAUUACCAGAGGUUGGGAGUUCGAGACCAGUCUGGCCAACAUGCUGAAACCCCAUCUCUACUACAAAUACAGAAAAUUAGCUGGGUGCAGUGGUGGGCAUCUGUAAUUCCAACUAAUUGGGAUGCUGAGGCAGGAGAAUCACUUGAACCUGGGAGCCCGAGGCUGCAGUAAGCCAUGAUCGUACCACUGCACUCCAGCCUGGGAGACAGAGUAAGACUCCAUCUCAAAAAAAAAAAAAAAAAAAAAGAAUGGGUAUGUACGGUAGGAAUCAGAGAAGAAGGGAGAAAAAAGAAAAA
rnacentral:lncRNA from 10 species